rnacentral:rRNA from 1 species
UUCCCUACGGGAGGCAGCAGUCGAGAAUCUUCGUCAAUGGGCGAAAGCCUGAACGAGCGACGCCGCGUGCGGGAUGAAGGCCCUUGGGUUGUAAACCGCUGUCGAGGGGGAUGAAGGCUUGAAGGUACUCCUUCAAGUUUGACAGAGCCCUGGAGGAAGCACGGGCUAAGUUCGUGCCAGCAGCCGCGGUAAUACGAACUGUGCGAACGUUAUUCGGAAUCACUGGGCUUACAGGGUGCGUAGGCGGCCAGACAAGUCAGGUGUGAAAGCCCUCGGCUCAACCGAGGAACUGCGCUUGAAACUGUCUGGCUCGAGUCAGCUAGAGGUACACGGAACUUCCAGUGGAGCGGUGAAAUGUGUUGAUAUUGGAAGGAACACCGGAGGCGAAAGCGGUGUACUGGGGCUGGUCUGACGCUGAGGCACGAAAGCCAGGGGAGCGAACGGGAUUAGAUACCCCUGUAGUCUG